AAGUUAUUUCAACUGAGGGAGGGGGGGUGGGGAAAGGGGGAGAAGGGGGAAGGGGUGCCGAGAGAAAACAGUUGUGACAUAGGAACCAAGUUUUAAUUGCACAGAGAUUAAUAAUAAGUGUUAGAAGGGACAUGAGCUCAGCUGAAGGAAAGCCUCAGACCAAGCACCAGAUCUCAUUUUUAAAACUAAUGGGAAAUGCAAACAGCACAAGAGAUGCUCCAAGCUGCACAUUUUUAAUAAGAAAACGCCCACACAGACACGUUUAACAGCUAAAAGAAUUCAGAGGUAAGAGGAAUCUGGUUAGAGAAUCAGAAAAAGAUAACUGAAGAAAGUAACCCAAGCUGGUCCUUGAAGGAUGACUAUUUCACCGACAAAAGAUGUAGACCUGAGAUCUCUAUAAGGCUCAUGCUGAGAAUUCAAAGAGUCUUUUGGUUCCUAAAGCAUUUUUCUGUCUGCCUAGCCACUACUAACUAAAAAUAAAAGUUGCCUGUAUUUCAAUUGAUUAAUCUUAACCUUCCUAAUGUCAUUGUAACAGGGACACAGAAUUCAUUAGUGGGUAAUUAAAGUGACAGUGUUCUGCA